rnacentral:rRNA from 1 species
AAUCAACGCUGGCGGCAGGCCUAACACAUGCAAGUCGAACGCCGUAGCAAUACGGAGUGGCAGACGGGUGAGUAACACGUGGGAACAUACCCUUCGGUUCGGAAUAACUCAGGGAAACUUGAGCUAAUACCGGAUACGUCCGCGAGGAGAAAGAUUCAUCGCCGGAGGAUUGGCCCGCGUCUGAUUAGCUUGUUGGUGAGGUAAUGGCUCACCAAGGCGACGAUCAGAGCUGGUCUGAGAGGAUGAUCAGCCACAUUGGGACUGAGACACGGCCCAAACUCCUACGGGAGGCAGCAGUGGGGAAUAUUGGACAAUGGGCGCAAGCCUGAUCCAGCCAUGCCGCGUGAGUGAUGAAGGCCCUAGGGUUGUAAAGCUC